rnacentral:lncRNA from 1 species
CUGUUAUUAAAGUUUUUGCCCUUGAAUAAUGAUUAAAUAUUUAUUAAAAUAAAAUGUGGUAUGAUAAAUGAGAAAACUAUCCAUCAGAGUACAAUUAAGUGGAUGUAAGCAUUGUAUUUACUUAUUAGAGGCCAAUGAUGACCUGUAAGUAAUGAGAAAACCCAAACCCUAUACAUAAUAUAUAGUAAUCUAUAAAAGACAACACUAACAAAAUUUGAAACAAAGCAACAAUUCAAACUUCAAAUAUAUAUACCAGACUAAUUUAUAAAAACAAAAAAUUAUGAAAAACAAAAAUGACAUAUAUGAACCAACAUCAACCACUGAACUAUGCACAAGCUCCUGGUAUUAGACAGGC